AUGCACUUUCUCUCUGGUCCCUGUGGACCACCAGUUUCCUGGUCCUCCAACUAUAUUUGUUCUGUUGAGAGGGAGGCAGCAAGUUGGAGAAAGGAGAGAAGAAGGAGAGCAGCUGUUCCCCUUGUGUAUGAACUCCCAGAUUCAUAUUUAUGGGCUUCCUCACCUACAGUACAGACCCUCGUAUAUGUUGGGUGACAUCUAUCUGGCUUUCAUCAUGAAUGAUGUUCCAUGAAACAGAUUUCUGCUCUAACGUUGUGCGAAGGCUUGC
rnacentral:lncRNA from 1 species